CCGUAAGGGUAAGACCCCAGGAAGACUACCUGGUUGAUAGGUCCAAGGUGUAAGCUCAGUAAUGGGUUCAGCUUAUGGAUACUAAUAGGUCGAGGACUUGACCU
rnacentral:rRNA from 1 species